GAGCCACCCUUGGGUCACGUUUCUGUUCCCUGAUGAGGAAAUGGGGACUGGCCUUGGCUCGUUCCCAUUGCAGGUGGGGAUGAUUCACAGCUCAUGGAGUGGAGGAUCCGGGGAAAAGCGGGCUCUGAGCUCACCAGGAGCGCUGGAGGAGCUGGGGGUGAGGAUUUGUUUGCAGGAUCGAUCCCAGGACUGAUCCCAGCCCUUCCCACGGACAGCUGGGGAGGAACCAGCUCCAGCCCUUUUAUCCAGACCCAGGAGAUCAGCACUCCUCUCCCAAAGGGGAAUGGAGGAGAAGAAAGAUGCUUUUGGGAUCCUCCCGUGCUCGGCGCUGCUCCCGCAGGUCCCAGGCUUGGAGUGGGAAUUCCAUCCUCCCUCCCGUCCCACGGGGAUUUUCUCCCUUCCCCCCUGAUCCCGGGAGGGAUCAGACUCGUUCCUGCUCCCUGACCUGCACACCUGGCUGCUGCGGAGCUCUGCUGCCCCUUCCCUUCCCGCUGCGAGCCUCAGGCACCUCCCGCUGGAUUCCCUGCUCCAAAAUUCAGAGUUUUUCUUCUGGAAAGGAGAAGUCCCCACCCCGGCACUCCUCAGCCUGACUCAGCCCGGUCCCUCUGUGGGUGAAUCACGGCUGGGGGAGAACCAAACCAAACCAAACCAAACCAAACCUGGGGUGACCUCCAGCUCCUCGGGGAUCCACGAACGUCCCCGGAGCCGCAGGAGGAGCGGGAAUGAUCGGAGAGCCCAGCUCUGCCCCUUCUGGGGCUGCUGCCAUCAAUCCCUGCUGGGAUUCUUCUGCCCCUGGAGAGGCAGGAUGACACUUCCCCUCCAGUGGGGAGGUAAAAAAGGGAAAUGCCAAGCAGAAAUCGGGAAAAUCCAGGUGUUCGUGGCUUAAGUUCAGCUUUGACGUGCGGAGAGAGGCCGAGCUUUAAAAAAGGAUUAAUGUCAAGAA